GGAUGUGAGGACAGCCUGGCUGGCUUGGCUGCAGCAUCUGUCACCCCAUUGAUUCGAGGGGACUGGCGAGGAGAGGUCCCUUUCCUCCCUCAGCACUCCAUGUGUGUCCCUCCUGAAGCUGCAUGCGCAAUCAAAGAGGACACCCUUCCUGAACAGAGCAGGGCUACGGUGGAUGAGUUGCUGCACUCCCCGGCUAGAACCUCCAAACAAGCUUUCAAGGUAGUGGGAGAGUAAGUCCAGAAAGGUUUAGUCCUGAGCUGAGGUCUGGAGGUGACUACAUUUUC
rnacentral:snRNA from 1 species